UCCCUGGUUGUCUGGUGGUUAGGACUUGGUGUUUUCACUGCUGAGGCCUGGGUUCAAUCCCUGGUUGGGGAA
rnacentral:tRNA from 1 species